UGAAUGACAUUUUGAAUUAUGUAGUGAUCUAAUUCUAUCCACAAAGCAAUUGUAUGUGAAUGUGUGAGACUUAUGGUCAUGGUUAUAGGGAAAUAACAAGAAGAACAAAGUGCAGUAAACGGUAAAACUGUUUGCACUACAAACCAGUACGUUCAUAAUUAAGACAAUACAUUAAAAAUAACAUAGUAAGAUACAGCAGUUUGCAACAGUAAACAGCAAAACAAGCUGUUUGUACAGCUAAUAUUAGCUGGAAUGACACCGAAAGCCAGACACAUUAAAUUUACAAAUGGCCGCGCCCCCUCUUACAGAAAAAAAAUAAGGGGCAUAUGUUUAUUCAUAUGUUUAUUUAUGUAACGUAAGCGUGUGACUUUUAAUUCGUGACGUGCUUUCAUGGGCGUGAGCGCGGACCGGAUGGAGUUGCCAUGGAAACGGAGCGCAACACUGCAAAUGUCACGAGGAAACACCCCGUUUCUCGCUGAUUUCACUGUUUUCAGGUGAGUUAAGUCCAUAAAAUCACACAAAUAUUACUUAUAACUGUUGUUGACACUUCUCUUACUUGUAUUUGACUCGCUUCUGUUGUUUAUUUACUUUAUAGGAAUGGUUUAAUGUCUUCGAAAAAGUCCGUUAGCAUUUCUACCGUUUUCAGACGACGUAUCGUCAGAAGGGAGUUUUCAAGGUUUCAAUAUUUCUGAAGGGAGCUGCUGACAGAGAUGUAGGAAGCGCUGAAAAGGUUAAGUAACCUAAUAUGCAUUUUUUUCACAACAUAUAUCGCAAUGAAUCUGUUAUUUUAUUUAUUUAUUUUUUGCAUCUCACCUGCUCUAGCUUGUUUCCAUCUAAUAAACCUGGAACUGCAGACUAAAUAUUGUUGGCUCUGUGUCAAAUAGCUUGUUUUGUUCUUAGAUUCUUCAGUGCUGACCCAGACAGCAACAUAGUGUUGGCCCAGAUCCGGCCCACAUCUGGCCCGCAUGAAAUCCAUGUGGGCCAGAUAUGGGCCAGACCUGGGCCGAAACUGCUUGCUGUCUGGGGAUGGCCUGCUGCAUCCAGCAGAGUCGGAGUGAACCUACUGUAAGACAACAUCUCCUAGAUACUAUUGACCACAAGACUAGUACAGGUUAUUAGAAACUGCACAGCACAGGACUUGCAGGACUUGUGAGGACUUCAGAUGAUACCAGUACUCAAAAGACCUUAGAUGAUGGCAGCUAUAGAUGGACAUACAAACUACCGCCACUGCAAAAAAGAUUCUAAUUUGAAAGAAGUUUAUAAUGCAUGUUACUCCCAAUUCAGAAGACUGAAUCAGCCUGUGUAUCUGAAUGUUUCUCAUACUCACUCCUCUCUGCCACAUCUGAAUUUUGGAUUUUCCUUAGCUGUCAGUUAUAAACGUCAAAAUUAAAAGAAAUAAACAUUUGAAAUAUAUCAGUCUGUGUGUAACGAAUAAAUAUAAUGUACAAGUUUCACUUUUUGAAUGGAAUUAGUGAAAUAAAUCAACUUUUUGAUGAUAUUCUAAUUAUAUGACCAGCACCUGUAUAUCAUUGCUCUUUUGUUGAUUUUGAUUGCUUCCAUUGUCUUAAUUUGUAAGUUGCUUUGGAUAAAAGUGUCUGCUAAAUGUAAAUGUAAUGUUAAUGUGUAUUUAACUAUAUUUAUAAAUAUUUAUCUGUAUUUUUUAUUUUGUAAUAAUGUAAAUGUAUUUGUUUUAUAUCUAUACAUGCAGUUGUAUUCAUGUAUGUAUAUUUAUUUG